rnacentral:lncRNA from 1 species
AUGGCUGCCGAGCUGCAGGCGAUAUUCCAAAACCAAAAGUGGCCGCCCCGGACAGGGUGUUCCCUGCCCCUACCAAAGAUGGCGGCACGAAGAGGGGGGCGGGGCGAGGCGGGGCGGGGCCUCCGGCCGGGGAGCCGGGCCCGGGGGCGGGGCGGGGGCGCGCCCGCCGCCGAACCGGAAGUGCCGCGCUGCCUCCUCCAGCUGGUUGUCAUUUCGUGCGGCAGCUCGGUCUUGAGGAGACGGGGCUCGGCAGCGGCCGGGUGGGGAGGAGGGAGGCACCGGCUGCGGCACCGAGGCAGGNNNNNNNNNNNNNNNNNNNNNAAAAAAAAAAAAGAAAAGAAAAGAAAAAGAGGCAAAACAAGGCGGCAGCAGCAGCGGAGGCUCAGCGCGGAGGACCCGUCGCAGCCAGGCUCGCCGGCUACCGAAGCGCCUCCCGACUCCCCGGAGCCGGUGUCGCGGCAGCCCUCCCCCCCCCUCUCCUGUGGCUCUCGCCUGCGGAGCCUCCCCCCUCCUUUCAGCUCCCGGCAGCAGCGUCCCCCACGGCGACCCUCCCGGUGCCCGGCCGGUUUACAUGAGGGGGAAGGAAGCCCGCCUGGAGCCGAGAAGACGCGCAGCAGCUGGGGAAGGACUGCUCCGAGGAGCCGCCGCCGCCGCCGGACCCCGCGCCCCGGACUCUUGUGAGGGAGGGGGGACACCGCGGGGGACACCCCACAGCCGGGGCCUGGCGAGCCGAGCCUGCCAGCGCCGCCCCUGCCCCGCUGGAUGCCUGGUCCCUGAGGAGGAACAACACACACACGCGUACCCACCCGGCCUUUCAGCCAGGGGCUCGCUCGUCUGCGGGGAACCCCCGUAUCUCGGUGGAAGGAGGCGAGCCCCGCACCAGAAACCACCCUCCCAGCAGCAGUGAGAGCAAGAAAACCUCCUUCCCCUUCCUCCUGCACAACUCGCUGUCCCCUCCUCCCCUCCCUUUUCCCGAACGGUGAAUGCUCAUUUCUGAGAUGUAAAUCUGCCUCUUCGGACAGCCAGGACUCAUAUGAAGGACACGCAAAUAUUGGAUCAUAAAUAAGAAGCGAGUCUGGCGAGCUCAGAAACCCAGCCCAAAACGAGCAGCAUCAAGAAUCCACCCUUCUCCUGCACAACUCACUCCCCACCCAACACACAUAGAAUACUAAUUUCCUGAGAUAAGAUCUUACCCCUUUAAACAACCACACGCGCGCGCGCACACACACACAGAGUGCAUAUUAUUACUAAAUAUAAUAGGUUAAACCCAGCAGCACGGGAAAAAGCCUCUUCUGCAACUCACUCUUCCUUUUCACCCUUCUGAAUGCUGAGAUCCUGAG